UUGUUAUAAUUGAGAUGCACAGGGCUGUUGCUGACCUAUCUGGGUCGUGCACGCCCAAAAAGUGCUCUCUCUCAUAUCCACUUCACCCCUUUGUGCAUUACCGCGUGAUCCUCCCUGUAUUGGGAUUGGUUCACGUUUUUAUACAGACACCUUCAUGUAUAGAAUGUCUUAUUUUGCGAUUAUGCGCAAUCAGUA
rnacentral:misc_RNA from 2 species